GGUGGAGUGGCCGAGAGGUUAGGCAGAGGACUGCAAAUCCUGUUACGAUGGUUCGAACCCAUCCUCACACCU
rnacentral:tRNA from 1 species